rnacentral:rRNA from 1 species
UACGUAGGGUGCGAGCGUUAUUCGGAAUUACUGGGCGUAAAGCGCGCGUAGGCGGCUUUGCAAGUCGGGUGUGAAAUCCCCAGGCUUAACCUGGGAACUGCAUUCGAGACUGCAUUGCUAGAGUAUGGGAGAGGGAAGUGGAAUUUCCGGUGUAGCGGUGAAAUGCGUAGAUAUCGGAAGGAACAUCAGUGGCGAAAGCGACUUCCUGGACCAAUACUGACGCUCAUGUGCGAAAGCGUGGGGAGCAAACAGG